rnacentral:rRNA from 1 species
CGGCGAGUGAAGCGGUAACAGCUCAAAUUUGAAAGCUGGCUCUUUUAGGGUCCGCGUUGUAAUUUGUAGAAGAUGCUUCGGGUGUGGCCCCGGUCUAAGUUCCUUGGAACAGGACGUCAUAGAGGGUGAGAAUCCCGUAUGUGACUGGGUGCUUUCGCUCAUGUGAAGCUCUUUCGACGAGUCGAGUUGUUUGGGAAUGCAGCUCAAAAUGGGUGGUAAAUUUCAUCUAAAGCUAAAUAUUGGCCAGAGACCGAUAGCGCACAAGUAGAGUGAUCGAAAGAUGAAAAGCACUUUGGAAAGAGAGUUAAACAGUACGUGAAAUUGUUGAAAGGGAAGCGCUUGCAACCAGACUUGCGCGCUGAUGAUCAUCCGGGCUUCUGCCCGGUGCACUCGUCUGCGCUCAGGCCAGCAUCGGUUUUGGUGGUGGGAUAAAGGCCUUGGGAAUGUGGCUCCUUUCGGGGAGUGUUAUAGCCCUCGGUGCAAUGCCGCCUACUGGGACCGAGGACCGCGCUUCGGCUAGGAUGCUGGCGUAAUGGUUGUAAGCGACCCGUCUUGAAACACGGACCAAGGAGUCUAACAUCUAUGCGAGUGUUUGGGUGUCAAACCCAUACGCGUAAUGAAAGUGAACGGAGGUGAGAACCCUUAAGGGUGCAUCAUCGACCGAUCCUGAUGUCUUCGGAUGGAUUUGAGUAAGAGCAUAGCUGUUGGGACCCGAAAGAUGGUGAACUAUGCGUGAAUAGGGUGAAGCCAGAGGAAACUCUGGUGGAGGCUCGCAGCGGUUCUGACGUGCAAAUCGAUCGUCAAAUUUGCGUAUAGGGG